GUAGUCAGUUUUUACUCAACCUACACAUGCAAGUCUCCGCACCCCUGUGAGAACGCCCUCUAACCCCUUCAGGGACGAGGAGCUGGUAUCAGGAUCAAUUUUUAGCCCAUGACACCUAGCUUAGCCACACCCACAAGGGAAUUCAGCAGUGAUCAACAUUGACCAUAAGCGAAAGCUUGAUUCAGUCAGAGUAAACAGAGCCGGCAAACCUGGUGCCAGCCGCCGCGGCUAAACCACGAGGGCCCAAACUGACCUCUUUCGGCGUAAAGCGUGAUUAAAGUUACCUCAGACUGUAGUUAAAUUAGAACUUAGCUGUGAUACGCUUUUAUCUAAGAAAUACAAAAACGAAAGUUA
rnacentral:rRNA from 1 species